rnacentral:rRNA from 1 species
UCACUUUCAACAACGGAUCUCUUGGCUCUCGCAUCGAUGAAGAACGUAGCGAAGUGCGAUAAGUAGUGUGAAUUGCAGAAUUCCGUGAAUCAUCGAAUCUUUGAACGCAAAUUGCACUCUCCGGUAUUCCGGAGAGUAUGCCUGUUUGAGGGUCGUUU